UACGGAGGGUGCAAGCGUUAUCCGGAUUCACUGGGUUUAAAGGGUGCGUAGGUGGGAAUGUAAGUCAGUGGUGAAAUCUCCGUGCUUAACAUGGAAACUGCCAUUGAUACUAUGUUUCUUGAAUUUUCUGGAGGUAAGCGGAAUAUGUCAUGUAGCGGUGAAAUGCUUAGAUAUGACAUAGAGCACCAAUUGCGAAGGCAGCUUGCUACAGGGAUAUUGACACUGAGGCACGAAAGCGUGGGGAUCAAACAGG
rnacentral:rRNA from 1 species